rnacentral:rRNA from 1 species
CCCUUAGAUGUCCUGGGCUGCACGCGCGCUACACUGAUGUGUCCAGUAAGCACCUAACCUCUUCCGAAAGGAACGGGUAACCUUUGCAAAGCACAUCGUGAUGGGGAUAGAUCAUUGCAAUUAUUAGUCUUGAACGAGGAAUUCCUAGUAAGCACAAGUCAUCAGCUUGUGUUGAUUACGUCCCUGCCCUUUGUACACACCGCCCGUCGCUCCUACCGAUUGAAUGUUCCGGUGAGCUCUUCGGACUGCGCGGUCUGCAGUUUCUGCGUUCCGUGCGGAAAGUUGCGCAAACCUUAACAUUUAGAGGAAGGAGAAGUCGUAACA